AGAGUGGCAGCCCUGGGCACCAGUCAAAGUUAAUAAGGACUAAUCGCUGAUUUAAGAAUGAUGAAUUAACCCACAAGGGAGCUUCAUUCACCAAGAAGUUUUCAAUAUAUUAUAAAUACCAAAAAGGGAACUAAUUUUUAAGAGUUCUGAUGACCUGAGUGGAAGUAAGGAGUUGGUGGGGAAUCAUGGGUUAGUUACAACCCCCUCUUUUCAGAGCAUCCCAUUUUGUAUAAUGUUUUCUUAUACAGAAUUAUUCAUUAUUGAAUGCUUUUGGGAGAUGGGCUGAGAUUUACAUUUACAAUUGAAAAACUGUAAACUCCUUCAAGGUCAUUAGAAGAGAUCUGGAUUAUCAACUGAAGCGUGAACUGCACAAUACUGAAAAUUGAAAACACCUCCCCCAGAGGCACCUCCAGAUUUUAGCGAAAUCUGCUCGACAUUUCCGAGUCCCUAUGAUGGAUCAGAGGCAUUCAGAUCUCUGCAAGGAUGGCAGAGGAGGAAAAACAAAAAACUGUCAGCAUUGCUGCACACAGGCUGAUGCUCUGUUGACCUGUGCCAUGUGAACAAGCCAGCAUUGUGCAUGGCUCCCAGAGCCCUGGCUCUUCCUGCACUUCUUUCUCCCCGACUCAAGAAACCAUUUGGGGAUGCAAGUGAGUGAGAUUGCCGAAAACAGAAACCCAACUCCAGCUAGCUAGCAUGAGAGGAAUAUAUUGAUGGGACACUCAGAUCCUGAAAUCUAUAAGUUAAAAUAACCAGUCUUUGGAUCAACUAGAUCCAGGCAACUCCGGGGACGUCAGAAAAAGAAAAUUAUGGACCUCUUCUCCAGGACACUGACAUUCGAAUUUCUCAUUUUUAGUGACCUGCAGCAUCAGAUGGACCAGCUCUGGCUAGGAAGAUGGGUUGUGUGGUAUAUACACGGUUGCUGGAGGCUUCUCCUCUGUAUCAGGGGCAACAAGGCAAGGGGAAUAUUGGGAGCUAAGAAAUUUUUAAGGCUUUAAUGAGAUGUAAUUGUCAUAUAAUAAACUACACAUAUUUAGAAUGUACAAAUUGAUGCAUUUUGAAAUAUACAUAAAAUUAUAUACAAUUAUAUUUAUGUUAUAUAUAUAUUAAUCUGGAAAACAAUGACUGAUGAAAAUAAUGACUAUAUUCAUCAUUGCUGAAAGUUUCUUUGUGCUCUCUUGUAUUCCCUCCCUCCUACCUCUCCAUGCCCCUCUACUUGUUCCCAGGCAAUCACUGAUCUGCCUCUUACUAUAGAUUAAUUUGCAUUUUCUAGAAUUGGGUAUAAAUGGGUAUAAAUGUAAUAUGUACUCUUUUUUGUCUGGCUUUUUGCACUUGGCAUUAUGAUUUUGAGAUUCAUUCAUGUUGUAGCAUGUAUCAGUACUUCACUCCUUUUUAUGAAUGUGUAAUAUUCCAUGGUAUGGAUACACCACAGUUUAUUCUUUCAAUUCUUCCUGGACUUUUAGGUUGCUUCUGGUUUGGGGCUAUUACCAAUAAACCUGCUAUGAAAAUUCAUGCACAAGGCUUUGUUUAGACAUAUGCUUGCAUUUUUCUUGGUUAAAAACCUAGGACUAGAAUGGCUGGGUCAUCUUGUAGGUGUAUAAUUAAUUUUUUUCAGAACCAGCCAAGCAGUUUUCCAAAGAGACUGUAGCAUUUUACAUUCCCACCAGCAAUAUAUGAGAGUUCUAAUUGUUGCAUAUCCUCACUUCUACUUGGUAUUUAUCCAGAAUUUAUUUUUAGAAAAUUCUCAAAACUUAAUUCUAAGAAGACCAACAACCUAAUUUUUAAAAAUGAGUAAAAGAUUUCAAUAGAUAAUUUCCAAAGCAGAUACACGGUGGCAAAUAUGCACAUGAAAAGAUAUUCAACAUCAUUAGUCAGUAGAAAAAUGAGAAUUAAAAGUGCAAUGGCAUGCUUAUUCAAAAAAUAACAUCAAAAGGAGGCUAAUAAUUUGACAUUAUGAUGCCCAUUUUAUAGAUAAGAAAACUGAGGCUCUAGGAAUUACGUGCCUUGACCAAGGUUGACCAGCUAUGAGGUGGUAGAAGUUGAAUUUGAACCUGGGUCUGCUAAUCCCUGCUUAAUAUUUUUAAAAAUAUUUUUAUUUAUUUGUCUGAGACAGAGAGAGAGCACAAGCAGGGGGAGUGGUGAAGGGAGAGGGUGAAGUAGACGCCCUGCUGAGCACAGAGCCAAAUGGGGGGCUCCAUCCAUCCCAGGACCCUGCCAAGAUCAAGACCUGAGCAGAAGUUGGAUGGUUAACUGACUGAGCCACCCAGGUGCCCUCCGCCCCCAGCCCCCAACCUGGCUGCAUAAUCUUGAUGCUAGGCCAGCAACAGUCCUUUGAAGUAGGCUUCACAAGCAAGAUUGAAAGCAGAGAAACUCACUUAUUAUUCAGGAAUACAUCCAUUUCCUCUCCUGAUGAGACAGGCUAUCACCAUUCACAGGGGACACUAUGCAACCUUAAGUUUUGGUGUCUAUUUUGCCUAAAGGAUAAAUUCUGUUUUUCCAACAUCCAGCUUGUCUAGAUGCCUCUGAGAGAGGUAUUCAAAGUGUAGAAUGCCCACCAAAGCUUCAUUGGUCCAAUAAAGACUGUUUAACCACAAUAAUUACAAAUAUGAGGGGUUUUUUUUUGACUCAGUCUUCAUUUGAAUCACAGAUCUAGUGUUUCUUAAAUAUGUGAUCUUGGACAAGUUACAAGUUUGAUAUGUUUGCCCAUAGAUUGAAUGAUACUGACCUUAUGGUGUUUUAAGGGUUAGAGCUGAUGUACAUAUAGAUUUUACCACAAUGUCCUAUACUUAAUGUAUUCCCAAAAUACUGUUUACCACAUCACAAAUAAUAAUAUAUAACCACCCUAAUAAUAGGUGUGUUAAGCUUCUCACUCACUAUGAAACCUGAAUAAAACACAAAUUCAUCACUAGCUGAUGUCUUACUCCCUCCUUUAGGAAAUACUAAUCCACCGACAGCCAGCGUUUGUUCUGUUUUGUUUUUUUUUUAGAUUUUAUUUAUUUAUUUAUGAGACACACACACACACACACACACACACACACACACACACACACACACACACAGAGGCAGAGACACAGGCAGAGGCAGAAGCAGGCUCCAUGCAGGGAGCCUGACGUAGGACUCCAUCCCUGGUCUCCAGGAUUAGGCCUUGGGCUGAAGGUGGCGCUAAACCGCCGAGCCACCCCGUCUGCCCAGUGGUCUUUAAUUCUAUAGAAACUACUAAGCCAGUGAAACAUUUACCCUUUAGUUGUAAAUUUAUCCUUUAGUUAGAAAUAUUCUUUGAAGGGAGUGUCUGUGGUUGCUGUUGGACCACAUCAGCUGAGCACCCGCAUGGAGUUUUUAAGAGUUCUGUGAUUGGAUAUGCAGGAAUCACAUGAUGUAAAGAAAUCAAAGUAAGUGUGAUAAAGAGCUCUGCAGGGGCGCCUGGGGGUCUCAGAGGUUGAGCAUCUGCUUCACUCUGGGUCUGGUAGGUGGUGAUCUUCGGGUUCUGGGCUUGAGUCCUAAGUCUGGCUCCCUUCUCAGCAGGGAGUCUGCUUCUCCCUCUCCUUCUGCCCUCCCCCCUGCUUGGGCUCUCUCUGUCUCUCUCUCAAAUGAAUAAAAAAUCUUAAAAAAAG